rnacentral:rRNA from 1 species
AGAGUUUGAUUCUGGCUCAGAUUGAACGCUGGCGGCAGGCCUAACACAUGCAAGUCGAGCGGUAGAGAGGAGCUUGCUCCUCUUGAGAGCGGCGGACGGGUGAGUAAUGCCUAGGAAUCUGCCUGGUAGUGGGGGAUAACGUUCGGAAACGGACGCUAAUACCGCAUACGUCCUACGGGAGAAAGCAGGGGACCUUCGGGCCUUGCGCUAUCAGAUGAGCCUAGGUCGGAUUAGCUAGUUGGUGAGGUAAUGGCUCGCCAAGGCGACGAUCCGUAACUGGUCUGAGAGGAUGAUCAGUCACACUGGAACUGAGACACGGUCCAGACUCCUACGGGAGGCAGCAGUGGGGAAUAUUGGACAAUGGGCGAAAGCCUGAUCCAGCCAUGCCGCGUGUGUGAAGAAGGUCUUCGGAUUGUAAAGCACUUUAAGUUGGGAGGAAGGGCAGUAAAUUAAUACUUUGCUGUUUUGACGUUACCGACAGAAUAAGCACCGGCUAACUCUGUGCCAGCAGCCGCGGUAAUACAGAGGGUGCAAGCGUUAAUCGGAAUUACUGGGCGUAAAGCGCGCGUAGGUGGUUUGUUAAGUUGGAUGUGAAAUCCCCGGGCUCAACCUGGGAACUGCAUUCAAAACUGACUGACUAGAGUAUGGUAGAGGGUGGUGGAAUUUCCUGUGUAGCGGUGAAAUGCGUAGAUAUAGGAAGGAACACCAGUGGCGAAGGCGACCACCUGGACUAAUACUGACACUGAGGUGCGAAAGCGUGGGGAACAAACAGGAUUAGAUACCCUGGUAGUCCACGCCGUAAACGAUGUCAACUAGCCGUUGGAAGCCUUGAGCUUUUAGUGGCGCAGCUAACGCAUUAAGUUGACCGCCUGGGGAGUACGGCCGCAAGGUUAAAACUCAAAUGAAUUGACGGGGGCCCGCACAAGCGGUGGAGCAUGUGGUUUAAUUCGAAGCAACGCGAAGAACCUUACCAGGCCUUGACAUCCAAUGAACUUUCUAGAGAUAGAUUGGUGCCUUCGGGAACAUUGAGACAGGUGCUGCAUGGCUGUCGUCAGCUCGUGUCGUGAGAUGUUGGGUUAGGUCCCGUAACGAGCGCAACCCUUGUCCUUAGUUACCAGCACGUCAUGGUGGGCACUCUAAGGAGACUGCCGGUGACAAACCGGAGGAAGGUGGGGAUGACGUCAAGUCAUCAUGGCCCUUACGGCCUGGGCUACACACGUGCUACAAUGGUCGGUACAGAGGGUUGCCAAGCCGCGAGGUGGAGCUAAUCCCACAAAACCGAUCGUAGUCCGGAUCGCAGUCUGCAACUCGACUGCGUGAAGUCGGAAUCGCUAGUAAUCGCGAAUCAGAAUGUCGCGGUGAAUACGUUCCCGGGCCUUGCACUCACCGCCCGUC